ACAAUAUCCAAUAGAAUUCAAGCAUUUAUAUAUGUAUUAUCUCAAGUAGCAAUAGACUUAGAUUAUUAGAUGAAGUUAGGCUGGAAAAAUACGUCCAUUUUAACCAACAAAAAUUCCAUCUUCAUAAAAACUUUACCACAUUUUUCCCAACAGAAAGUGACGACACAACAUGGUUUAAACCACGAAUCACAACUCAAUCAUGCAAACCACCAAUGAUCAAUCCCAAUCCCAAUCCCAAUUAAUCCAUUAUCCAUGAUUAAUCCCACCAUAAUCCAGUUCUUAAUCCCAUUUUUUCUCCUCAUAAUCACACAUUCCGCCAAAACCCUAAUCACAGACCACCACAAAUUAGUAUACACACAAUGCUCAAACCAUACCUCACCAAAUCCCUCUCACGUUUCGUUACUCCCAAAUCUAUUUCAAGAACUCAUCACACACUCUUCCAAAGCCUCCUUCUUCAAAACCAUAGUCGGAGAUGAGAAAACCGCGGUUUCGGGUUCGUUUCAAUGCAGAAAAGAUCUCAGCUCGGAUGAAUGCAGAAGCUGCGUGAUCAAAUCUUCCGACCUGUCGGAAAAUUUGUGCGGAAAAAUUUUACCGGCAAGAAUCCAGCUCCGCGGCUGCUACGUUCGGUACGAGGGGGAGGAAGACGGGGCUGAGCCCGAGACCGAUGCGGGCCCGGAGCAAAUCCUUCACCGGGCAUGUAGCAAGAGGAAGAUCAAGAGAGAUGGAUUUGAAGAGAUGAAAUAUGCCGCCUUUGGCGCGGUAGAGAGCUGUGUGAUGAGCGAGAAUGGAUUUUGCGAGAUGGUGUAUGAAUCUAUCCGUGUUUCGACACAGUGUGUGGGGAGUUUGAGGAGCGCCUGCGACUGCGGCGGAUGCGUUGCUCGUGCGGCGGAGUUUGCUUGUGAGGAUGAAUGCAGAUAUUCUGUUGCGGGAGAGGUUUAUAUUGAUGGAUGCUUCCUCAGUUAUUAUUAUUAUGGAGAUAGGGGCUUUGGCACCUACAAGGGUGGAGGGGACCGUUCGCCAAAACUGGUAGCAAUUGUUGUUGGGGGUUUAGCUGUUUUAGCAGUGGGAGUUGGGCUAUGUUACUUCACCAAGUCUUGUUGGAAGAAGAAAGAUGAUUGGUGAGGCAGAUGGCAGCUGUGGCUCUUGCCUUAGGAAGAAUAAUCGAAAAUCUUGCAUGACUGCCAUUGCAAUCUUUGGGAUUAUGAACUAGGCUCAAAUGUUUGUAGAAUUGUUGAUAAAUAUUGUCAUAGAAGGAUAAGAUUUGGACGUGCAAUUAAAGUAACUACAAAAGAAUCAAGAGAUUGAGACAUUAUUAAAAUAUUUCUAAAGUAGUGCCGAUAUUUUUACUUUUUUUUUUAAAGAACUAAUUAAUCAAGCUAGUUCAAAUAUGUCAAGUUGUUUGUAGAAUUGUUGGGUAAAAAUGGUGAGUAAAAGGAAGGGAAAAAAAGAAAAUACAAACUAUCAUAUACCAACAAACAAAACAUGGAUUUCAAAUUAUGCAGAUGAUUGCAGACAGCCAGGCUCAUGGCUUGAAAUCUACCGUAUCAAAUUUG